GUUGCAAAUUGAGCAGGCACCCCAACCACUUUCCCACGGUAAGACACUACGAACACGUUGUGGGUAGAAGAGGAAGACACUACGGCGGUUCACAAAGAGAUGUAAUAAUUAACGUUAAAUGGUUCGGUUCAUCCUGAAGCCGUGACAACUUUCCGUUCAUCCUGAAACAAGGAAACAGCCACUCCUGCAGACGUGGAGAGAUUGCCUUUACCAGAUGCUCCAAGAUUAGUUAUUCAAGGGAACAAAUUUGUUUCCAACAAAUGGAUGCUAACCAUCGAAAAACAAGUGGUGAUGACUCCACAUUCAAACUUCACUGCAGGCCCGGCCACUUUGUUUGCAACCUUCUAUACCUUCAAUUUGGAGUACCAAGAGGAGGCUUCAUGUGUCCUUGAAUUCAUCCAAAGGUGCUUUGUGGGAAUCAACCCAGACACCGGCUCCAAGGCUUCAAGUGGAAAGAAAAAACGUCACACAAUCAAUGUAAAUGUCUGCACUCUUUUACGCAAGCUCAUGGACUUUGACUGGCUUGGUUUUUAGGCACUCGCAAAGCCAUUCUCUCAUUUUCUAAAUGUUUUUUCAAUGUCUUUCAAUUUCCAGGCUAUUGAUCGAAUAAUGGUGAAAUUAUGCUGAGUUUGAGUUGAAUGAAUGGCAUUCUUUUGCUACAUUCGAAAUAAAGUUUGAAGUUUAACUCUGAA